CGACAUAAUGCAACUAGCACAAUCUAAUAAUCACCACCACCACCACCACUAAACCUGUGCCUUUAGUAGGUGAUCCAUUUACUUGGUGAGCCCAACAAGGCUGCAAAGAAUCGGUGGCUGCAACUGUUUAUUAAAAACACAGCACUCUGCAAAGACGAAAGUCGACGUAUAGGGUGUGACUCCUGCCCGGUGCUGGAAGAUUAAAUGAUGGGGUGCAAGCUCUUGAUUGAAGUCCCAGUAAACGGCGGCCGUAACAAUAACGGUCCUAAGGUAGCGAAAUUCCUUGUCGGGUAAGUUCCGACCUCACGAAUGGAGUAAUGAUGGCCACACUGUCUCCUCCAGAGACUCAGCGAAGUUGAAAUGUUUGUGAUGAUGCAAUCUCCCCGCGGAAAGACGGAAAGACCCCAUGAACCUUUACUGUAGCUUUACAUUGGACUUUGAACAGAUCUGUGUAGGAUAGGUGGGAGGCUUUGAAGCGGUGCCGCUAGGUAUCGUGGAGCCAACGUUGAAAUACCACCCUGGUGUGUUUGAGGUUCUAACCUUGGCCCGUUAUCCGGGUUGGGGACAGUGUAUGGUGGGCAGUUUGACUGGGGCGGUCUCCUCCCAAAGUGUAACGGAGGAGUUCGAAGGUACGCUAAAUACGGUCGGAAAUCGUGUUGAUAGUGCAUUGGCAUAAGCGUGCUUGACUGCGAGACUGACAAGUCGAGCAGGUACGAAAGUAGGACAAAGUGAUCCGGUGGUUCUGUAUGGAAGGGCCAUCGCUCAACGGAUAAAAGGUACUCUGGGGAUAACAGGCUGAUACCGCCCAAGAGUUCAUAUCGACGGCGGUGUUUGGCACCUCGAUGUCGGCUCAUCUCAUCCUGGGGCUGUAGCCGGUCCCAAGGGUAUGGCUGUUCGCCAUUUAAAGAGGUACGUGAGCUGGGUUUAAAACGUCGUGAGACAGUUUGGUCCCUAUCUUCCGUGGGCGCUGCAAGAUUGAGAGAGCCUGCUCCUAGUACGAGAGGACCGGAGUGGACGCACCUCUGGUGUAUCGGUUGUCACGCCAGUGGCAUUGCCGAGUAGCUAAGUGCGGAAGAGAUAACCGCUGAAAGCAUCUAAGCGGGAAACUCGUCUCAAGAUGAGUCUUGCCGGGGCCUUGAGCCCCCUGAAGAGUCGUUCGAGACCAGGACGUUGAUAGGCCGGGUGUGGAAGCGCAGUAAUGCGUUAAGCUAACCGGUACUAAUUGCUCGUGCGGCUUGACCCU
rnacentral:rRNA from 1 species